GAGAGAGAGAGAGAGAAAGAGAGAGAGAGAGAGAGAAAGAGAGAGAGAGAGAGAGAGAUGUUGAAUAAUGAUGUUCAAAAUAAAUUGAUAGACUCUUCUCUACAUCCUCUUGUUUUUCUUCCUCUUCCUCUCUUCCUUCCUUCUGUCCCUCUCUCAUUCUUC
rnacentral:miRNA from 1 species